GACGAACGCUGGCGGCGUGCUUAACACAUGCAAGUCGAACGGAAAGGCCCUUCGGGGUACUCGAGUGGCGAACGGGUGAGUAACACGUGGGUGAUCUGCCCUGCACUUUGGGAUAAGCCUGGGAAACUGGGUCUAAUACCGAAUAGGACCACGCGCUUCAUGGUGUGUGGUGGAAAGCUUUUGCGGUGUGGGAUGGGCCCGCGGCCUAUCAGCUUGUUGGUGGGGUAAUGGCCUACCAAGGCGACGACGGGUAGCCGGCCUGAGAGGGUGACCGGCCACACUGGGACUGAGAUACGGCCCAGACUCCUACGGGAGGCAGCAGUGGGGAAUAUUGCACAAUGGGCGCAAGCCUGAUGCAGCGACGCCGCGUGAGGGAUGACGGCCUUCGGGCUGUAAACCUCUUUCAAUAGGGACGAAGCGCAAGUGACGGUACCUAUAGAAGAAGCACCGGCCAACUACGUG
rnacentral:rRNA from 1 species